GGAAAACUUACCAGGUCCAGACAUAGUGAGGAUUGACAGAUUGAGAGCUCUUUCUUGAUUCUAUGGGAGGUGGUGCAUGGCCGUUCUUAGUUGGUGGAGUGAUUUGUCUGGUUAAUUCCGUUAACGAACGAGACCACAGCCUGCUAAAUAGUCCGGAUUGUACUUUACAGUCUAGGGCUUCUUAGAGGGACACCGAGUUACCAAGCUCGGGGAAGUUUGUGGCGAUAA
rnacentral:rRNA from 1 species